GACGUAGGGGGCCAGCGUUGUUCGGAAUUACUGGGUGUAAAGGGUUCGUAGGCGGUGCGGCAAGUUGGGAGUGAAAUCUCUGGGCUUAACCCAGAGGCUGCUUCCAAAACUGCUGUGCUUGAGUGUGGGAGAGGCGCGUGGAAUUGCAGGUGUAGCGGUGAAAUGCGUAGAUAUCUGCAGGAACACCCGUGGCGAAAGCGGCACGCUGGACCACUACUGACGCUGAGGAACGAAAAGCUAGGGGAGCAAACAGG
rnacentral:rRNA from 1 species